rnacentral:rRNA from 1 species
UGCUAGUUUAGCGUCUCCAAGCUAUGAUGGAGACGCGGCGCACAGCUCAGUAACACGUGGCCAACCUGCCCUUAGGACAAGUAUAACCCCGGGAAACUGGGGAUAAUCCUUGAUAGGUGAGGAAUUCUGGAAUGAGUCUUCGCUUAAAGGACGUGCAGAUCACGCUUCUGUGCGUUGCCUAAGGAUGGGGCCGCGGCCGAUCAGGUUGUUGGUGAGGUAAUGGCUCACCAAGCCUAUAACCGGUACGGGCCGUGAAAGCGGAAGCCCGGAGAUGGGCACUGAGACAAGGGCCCAGGCCCUACGGGGCGCAGCAGUCGCGAAAACUCCGCAAUACGCGAAAGCGUGACGGGGCUAUCCCGAGUGCUAUUCGAUAAGAGUAGCUUUUCCUCAGUGUAAAGUGCUGGGGGAAUAAGGAGGGGGCAAGACUGGUGUCAGCCGCCGCGGUAAUACCAGCUCUCCGAGUGAUAAGGACGUUUAUUGGGCCUAAAGCAUCCGUAGCUUGCUGAGUAUGUCCUCCGUUAAAUCCAACGAUUUAAUCGUUGGGCUGCGGGGGAUACUGCUUAGCUAGGAGGCGGGAGAGGCCGACGGUAUUUCCGGGGUAGGGGUGAAAUCCUAUAAUCCCGGGACGACCACCAGUGGCGAAGGCUGUCGGCUAGAACGCGCUCGACGGUGAGGGAUGAAAGCUGGGGGAGCAAACCGGAUUAGAUACCCGGGUAGUCCCAGCUGUAAACGAUGCAGGCUA